CUUAAGGCGAAUUGUAUGGACAGCAUCGAUAUGAAUAAGGGCAGUCCCUGUAAAUAAUAUAAAUCGCGAACUGGCACGCCACACGCGAGCAAUAUCGUCCUAGAGCCUUGUUGCAUUGUGGGGAGUAUGUGACUGCAAAAAAUUUUUACAUCUGGGGCCAAUCGAGGUGGAGUCUGGAACGGGAUUCAAGGUCUUGAACUUAUCUGAAAUUUGCUGAAGCCAGAGAACAAAAUUGAAACUGUUUCCGCUGGAACCCCCACCCACAUUCAGAAACGAACUGCAUAGUGGUGGUGGAAUUAUUAGAGUGACAACAAUUAUGGUAAACGCCACGACUGGCUUUGGCUUAAUCCUCAAACACAUUUCAGCCUUGUUUUAUUGAACUUUUUGUCACGUUUUGGGAAAUAUGGCGAGAGAGAACAAAAUAGCUUUGUAGAUAUGAUAUGAGAUCGCAAAGAUCUGUCAAAAUAUCUAUGUAUGUACGCCCCAAAAGCCUAAUUUCUUGAUGAUGGUUAUGCUCCCGUUUGUAAAUAUUAUGCGAAAUUAAAGCAACAACAAAGAGACGAAAGUUGUUAAGAAAAUUCAAAUUUUAUAUUCGUAGUGACCAUAAGGCGUUCAAGGAAGGUGUUAAUUUUUAUUUGUGAGGAACAGUGCAAUUUCAUCGAGAUCCCCGACAUCUCCUGCCGUCAUUCUCAUCGGUGAGUCGUCCGAAACUGGAUACCUGUCCAAUUGCUGAACUGAAGCCCAAG